CAGGUUGGUUUUUGCAAUUAAAUUUGAAAUGGGUUGUUUUCUGCGAUUAAAUUUGUAAAUAGGUUGGUUUUGAAAAUUUGUCCCAUAUUAGAAUCAUUGUCAAUUGGAACCCUGUUGUAAUUGGCUGCAAAAUUUUGCCAUUGACAAAACUUUGGAAAGAGAUAUUUAGCUAAUUUAGUAAUAUAUUAAAUUUUAGAUUCUUAAACUAGGAAAUUUUAGGUUCUUCAAAAUUUUGUUGCGGGUAUGAAUUGUUGCGCUAAAUUCAAUUCGGGGUCCUGAUAAAAACCCCCAAAUUGAGUAGUUUCCAGUUAAAGAAGAUAAUUUGAGCUGUGAAAAUUUUACUAGCUGUUGUUUUCUGUUUUGGGUAAUCUUAAAGUUAUCUAUUUUAGCCAUUUUUAUGUCAGUGAUUAAUUAUACUUACUUGUAAGGUAAAUUUCACAAAGCCCUCACGAGUGUGAGAGUUUUUACUUAAUUCCUAAAAAGUUUGAAACUUUCAUUUAACCCAAGAAGGAAAAUCCAUAAAAACCCCAUCGUAUAUUAAUUUUUUCACUUGACCCAGUGAUGGCAUUACAUAAAACAUGAUGAAUGUGGAGUUCUGGAGAAAGAAAUUGCCAAAACCAAAUUUUGGAGAUUGGGAGCUCAGACCUGUGAGCGAACACAACCAAAGAUGAGAAUGAAGUGGGAAAAGAAAAUUUUAGGGCGAAAAAUAUAAAAAGAGAACCUGAAUGUUUCUUUUUUGUUGGUUGAAAAGAUUAAGGGUGGUUUGUCUUUUGACAACACCUGAUUUGCACGUGAUGCAUCAGAACUAAUGCCUCAUUUGGUACACAUGAAUGAGUGGGAAUAGAAUGCUCAUUCCCGCUUCUUAUUCAUGCGUACCAAACACAACGCAUUUUUAGAAGCUAGAAUGCUCAUUCCCACUUCUCAUUUAUUCCCGCUUUAUGUGUGAGACUGAGCAUUCCCAAUGAGAUGGUAGACAAUGGGCAUUCCCACUUAAGUGAGAACAAAAAAUUUUAAAUAAUGUAUUAAUUGCUUAUUAAUUGUCGGCUUAUUAAUUGUCGAUACCAAAAAUAAAAAUGAUUUUCAUCCUCAGUUCAUUCUCUAAUCGUUCGCAAAUGUAAGAAUGAGAAUGAUACGUAAAUUUUUCCUUGAAGAUCUGAACAUAAAUAUGAUUCAUCAUUGAUAUGUUGGUGGAGAAAGGAGAACAAUUCUUAGGUGUUUUGCUAUUUUUUUGGCUGACCCCAAGACUUGGAACCUUCGUUUCUUUUUUUAUUAUUAAUUUGGUAUUGAUUAGUGUUAAAUGGUUGGUACGCUUGCUUGAGCUUACUCGUAUAUAUUAUCUAAAAAACAGAGCUUUCUCGUAUACAUUUUUGGUUAAGUUAUUCACAACACUAACAUUUGAGAUUUAUGUCCAAAGUAGUAGCCUCAGCCAUUCUUUUAUACAACCCCCCUUUCAAUUUGGGGUCUUUUAUUUUGUAUUCUUUUUGUUUAAUGUCUAAAGAUACAAAUCUCCUGUUAGGAUAUAAUCAUGUUUUAAAAUUUUGAAAUGACAAGAUUGUGACAUCAUGUUGGGAAGUGGAGUUGUUGGUAUCCUAUCUGAGUCUUGUAAUGUAUGGGAAAGGAGAGCUCCAUUAACCCCUGCCCACCGUGCUCGCCUUCUCCUCAGUGGAAACGGAAAUGGAGUUGAUCGUAGUAUAAUAAUUCAGCCAAGCACUAAACGUAUCUAUUAUGAUUCACAAUAUGAGGAUGUUGGUUGUGAAAUAUCAGAUGAUCUAUCUGAAUGUGGUCUCAUUUUAGGAGUCAAGCAACCAAAGGUAAUAAGAUAUUGUCAAGUCCAAUGCUAUUUAAAAUGUGUAAAUUCAUAGCUAAUUCAUUCAUCACAGUUGUAGAUGAUUCUGCCAGAUAGAGCAUAUGCAUUCUUUUCCCACACCCACAAGGCUCAGAGUGAAAACAUGCCUUUGUUAGAUAAGAUUCUAUCUGAAAGGGUGUCACUAUAUGAUUAUGAGCGUAUUAUUGGAGAUGAUGGCAGAAUGUUGCUUGCAUUUGGAAAAUUCGCUGGUAGAGCAGGAUUCAUUGACUUCUUACAUGGUAUGGGAAAAAGUAUGUGCCCUUAGAUUUAUUCUAAAGCAUAUGCUAUGCUUUUCAUAAUUUCUAGUACUAAUUCUAAUUGAUAUCAUACGUUACCAUGAGUGAUGUUUCAUGUUUGUGACUAUAAUAAGCUUGCAUUUAAAACUAUAAAUAUUUGAAAAUUUAAGACUAUUGCAUGACAUAGUUUUCUUCCUUGAAAAUCUAAUGCACAGCUUGGAGCUUUUGCUAAGUUCGCUCCAUGCAAAUAACUCUAUUUUCGUAAAAGUUGGCAAUACAAGCAUGUAUAUACUGCUAUUUCAUCUGGAACCUGAUGAUGGAGAGCAUAUUAUUACUUGACUAUAUGGUGUGCAGUCUGAUGAAUCCCGCCACCGCCGGCCGCCCGCCAUCCGGUUCAGACGCCCCAAAAGCAAUUAUUACAGCCUUGGCAGCAGCCAAAGAAGAAUACAUAUAAGACGUCCCAAGAGACA